rnacentral:rRNA from 1 species
CAAGGAGUUUUCCGCAAUGGGCGAAAGCCUGACGGAGCAACGCCGCGUGUGGGAUGACGCCCUUCGGGGUGUAAACCACUUUUCUUGGGGACGAAGCAGUGACGGUACCCGAGGAAGAAGGCCCGGCUAACUACGUGCCAGCAGCCGCGGUAAUACGUAGGGACCGAGCGUUGUCCGGAGUUACUGGGCGUAAAGCGCGCGCAGGCGGCUCGUCAAGCCUGACGUGAAAGCCCCCGGCUCAGCCGGGGAGGGUCGUCGGGGACUGGCGGGCUUGAGGUCGGCAGGGGUUGGUGGAAUUCCCGGUGUAGUGGUGAAAUGCGUAGAGAUCGGGAGGAACACCCGUGGCGAAGGCGGCCAACUGGGCCGGACCUGACGCUGAGGCGCGAAGGCGUGGGGAGCGAACG